rnacentral:rRNA from 1 species
UCUAGCCUGAAGUCAGACAAGUGAACCCGCUGAAUUU